GUUCUUUUGUGUUUCAUAAAGUAAUGAUUGUGUUUUCACAUUAUUGUGUGAGGUGUGCCUCCCUCAGUCUGCACAUUACCUGACAUGAAA
rnacentral:snoRNA from 1 species